AGCGAACGCUGGCGGCAGGCCUAACACAUGCAAGUCGAACGAACCUCUCGGGGUUAGUGGCGGACGGGUGAGUAACACGUGGGAACGUGCCUUUAGGUUCGGAAUAACUCAGGGAAACUUGUGCUAAUACCGAAUGUGCCCUUCGGGGGAAAGAUUAAUCGCCUUUAGAGCGGCCCGCGUCUGAUUAGCUAGUUGGUUGAGGUAAUGGCUCACCAAGGCGACGAUCAGUAGCUGGUCUGAGAGGAUGAUCAGCCACAUUGGGACUGAGACACGGCCCAAACUCCUACGGGAGGCAGCAGUGGGGAAUCUUGCGCAAUGGGCGAAAGCCUGACGCAGCCAUGCCGCGUGAAUGAUGAAGGUCUUAGGAUUGUAAAAUUCUUUCACCGGGGACGAUAAUGACGGUACCCGGAGAAGAAGCCCCGGCUAACUUCGUG
rnacentral:rRNA from 1 species